rnacentral:lncRNA from 1 species
CCAUAACUCAGUAUGGAUCCUCAGGACAGGACGGAAAAGUUGUGCUUCCAGACGCUGCACUUGGUGGAUCAGCAGGCACCAUCCAGAUCGAUAAACUGGCUCAUCUGAUCUUAUGGUCUGCACUCAGGAAUUGACUCAGCCCAGGAGGACAGCUUCGACUCCCUAUGAUUGCAUCUCUGACCCAACCAAUCAGCACUCCUGACUCACUGGCUCCACCACCCACCAACUUAUCCUUAAAAACUCUUAUCCCUGA